CCGCCGCCGUCGCUGCUCCCCAGACCACACGGCCGUCCGCCGCGCUCCUCCUCCCGGCUCCACGCUCCACCGCCUCGCUCCUCUUCCCGGCUCCACGCUCCGCGGCCCCGCUCCUCCAGCCAACUCCCGACAACGCGCGCCGCGCCAAGCACACCCAUCUCGUCUGCGGAUACGAGCAUGCGACCAUGAUAGCUUAUUCUCUCAAAUCCACCACCACGUUCAUUGAUUCCAUGGAGGAGCUGCCUGAGAUUACUACCAGAUUUUGGGAGACGUGAGGAGAAGACGGGGAGAAAGACCACUCCAGGGAGAGAGAGAGGGGCCAGAGCACCAUCGGCGCGCGUUGACCACCAGGCGGAGGUAGGGGAGAGGGGGCUCUGGGCGGCACCGCUCCUCCCGUGCCGUGUUCGUGCAGGAGCCAGGGAUUGAGGAGGGAACCACGCGUCCGUGCAAUGCGACCCUCGUCUGCGGCCGAGCAAAUCGUGGAUUUUUUGGGGCAUGCGGGGUCUUUGGUUUGUGGACGACGGCGAGAAGCGCGGCGAGGUGGAUGUGGCGUAGUACCUCACUGUAAAUUCCCCUACCGCACUUCGUCUACAGGGUGAGGCGUUCUGAACCAGUUUUGGAUUUGCCAAAGUGCGUGUAUUGAGUUGCCGCAGGCGUGAGCACGAGUUGCACGAAGAUGUGGUGUGAGUUCGCCAGAGUUUGCGUUUCUCGAAGGAUGAGGCCAUCCAGAGAAGGAGGCAGAGCAUCCAAAGGAUCAAGCCUGUGCCUCACCCAGGGUGAGACGGCCCAAGGAAGAGCGACAAUGAAUUUCCAGUAUCAUUUGGAUAGUACGAGGAAGGGGAGAACAAAUCUACUUUUUUCCACUGCAAGUGGGGCUGAAGUUUCCUACAAUAAAUUUUCUAGUAUAUAUGCGCGAUUUGAGAGGAAUAGUUUCCUGGGGCGGCUAUCGCGGAGGAGUUGAGACUGGGGUGCGGUAGCCGAGCAGCAGCAGUGGAGCUGCUCAUUCCGAGGGGAGGCGGGAGGGGAGAGGGAGAGGAGUCGAGGUCUUAGUGCGGCCAUCAUCGACAUUGAGCAACCCGACCAGGCAAAAAAGGUUAGCAAAAGGAAAAGGGCGUUCAGCAAGAUCCCCAAUAGUUAACCCCGAUGUUGAUCCAUCUCCUGCCAUCGAAGUGCAGCAAACAGAGUGGUGGGCAUGGAAGAAUUUGUUGGAGACUUUGGGAGGGAAGAGAGGGGGGAUAUGUGGUUUUGGUGUUCAAUCGAGCGAUGGUGGUGCUGGAUAUCCUCCUGGUGACGCACGCCUCAACCGGCAGGGCCUACAUGUACAUGAUUUCGCAAGAUCCUAUUUCCUGAGUGCUUUUUUCCUCCAUUCACUCGUUGUGGAUGGACCGAUUCCAGGCAAGGUUCCAAUAGCUUCCGCUUGGGAUGAAAACCUCAUACUCAAGGUCAUGAGGAAGGAAAAGAAGGGUCCAGGAGGAGUAUAGCAAGCUACGAGGCGCAUUACAAAACAUUGCAGGAGAUUAGAGAAAUGAGGGAAAACAUGACGGGGAAAGUUUGCACCCACGAUAAACAGAGGUCCUUCCGAUGGGGUGGAACCAGGGGAAGGGAAUAAAUUCCCCUGUCCUCCUUUUGCGUGUGGGAGAAGAAGGACGUGAGGACGGAUGGGGAGCGGAGAAGAAAGGAGGGAGGGGCCAAUGUGUGCAGAGGGGCAGUUGAGAGUCGGCUUUGGUGUAGCACGUGAUCGGGAGAUUGGGAGGAGAUAAGCUGGGUGAACGGGGGAUGUGGGAGACAGUUGCCCCUUUACUUUCCAAAUCUGGACUGAGGGGGGACCGAAACAUACCACAUACGGGAGGCUGCCAAGGGGCUCUGGCGGGCACACGUUUGCCCACUAGACGCGUCCAAUAGACAAACAUGUUACAUCUAAAUAUCUUCGCCGAGUCGUUUUUCGAUGGAACUAGGCAAAGUAUGUUGGAACUUUUGCUAACAUGCCUUAUUAGUCACUGUACAUGCCCCAAGCGUCACGUUUGUGGGACAGGCAAGGCAUGUGUGGUAUGGUGAGUGCGUGAUCUAUGUGCAUGUCCGAUCGAAUGGUCCACGGGUACGUACGUUGGCAUAUCAGUACGUAAAACUCAAUUAACGUCGUAAUCACCAUCCUGCCUCA